GAUGAACGCUGGCGGCGUGCCUAAUACAUGCAAGUCGAGCGAACGGACGAGAAGCUUGCUUCUCUGAUGUUAGCGGCGGACGGGCGAGUAACACGUGGAUCACCUACCUAUAAGACUGGGAUAACUUCGGGAAACCGGAGCUAAUACUGGCUGAUACUUUGAACCGCUUGGUUCAAAAGAGAAUGACGCUCUUGCCGUCACAUAUAGAUGGAUCCGCGCUGCAUUAGCUAGUUGGUAAGGUAACGGCUCACCAAGGCAACGAUGCAUAGCCGACCUGAGAGGGUGAUCGGCCACACUGGAACUGAGACACGGUCCAGACUCCUGCAGGAGGCAGCAGUGGGGAAUCUUCGACAAUGGGCGCAAGCCUGACCGAGCAACGCCGCGUGAGUGAAGAAGGUCUUCGGGUCGUAAAGCUCUGUUGUUAGGGAAGAAAAUAUGUGGGAGAAACUGUGGACGUCUUGACGGUACCCAAACAGAAAGCCACGGCUAACUACGUG
rnacentral:rRNA from 1 species